CAUCUCCUGGCACCUUUCUAGUCAAAUGGCAAAUCUCACAAAUUAGUUAGUUUGCCAUCUAAAUAUGUUCCCAAGUAUGCAUUAAAUAUCAUAUACUUGUGGCAUGCUGGCACAAUCAAUGACACAUUAUAUACCAUAUCUUCUCAUUCUAAGCAUGUUGACAUGUUGGUGGUGGAAGCUGUAGGAUGAGAGAAAUGGGAGGAAUCGGCAG
rnacentral:lncRNA from 1 species